UUGUGUGGGUCAUGCUCUGAGUUCGUUUCCUGUGUUCUGUAAUGGGUUAAUGAUAUCCACAUGUUUUGUAGUAUUUAAGUCAUGCAUUGCUGGUGUGUUAAGCCGUAAACACAGUCGUAGCAGGGAAGCUUCGCCGAGUUACUAAGUUAAAGCGAGACGUUUUGGAUGAAGUGGAGUUUUGGUUUUCUCUGAUGUUUGUCUCCUGUGAAGAUUGAUAGGGCCCAUAUUCCAAGGCGUGGAGGAAGACAUCUACAGCCUCGUGAGAUGCUACCUAAUAAGGUGAAGGAGGAGGUUUUCCACUAGCUGUAAUGCAACUGAAUAAUGGGGAUUCCCAUGAAGAGGUCAUCAGGCCAGGAGGGAAAAAAAGUGUUUUCUAUCGAACACAGAGCCCUACGUCAGCCCUGGACUCAUCAACAAACCAGCCAAUCACAAGUCUGUGUUGCUUCAUACAUAUCCAGAAUUCUACUCAGAUACAGUAUUAUACACCUUUACAACAAAGGCUCAUGACCUCCAAGGAUGCAAUAUUUCUUUUCUGAGAGCCAGCAGAUUCCCUGACAUUUCACCAGCAUUAUCUCCAGGUCACGGCUUUAUCAGAGUUUCUCAUCUGUUUAAUCCAGAGACUGAUUUAUUGACGGAGUAAUUCUGCUGGUCCAGGUGUUGGGCAGAUGUCAAGACAAGCAGGCAGGCAGGCAAAGCAUUGCAUUCCUAUGGGAAAAGGCAUUAAUGUCAACUCGUGAUUUUCUCUGCCUGUCAAUCUACCUGCCUCAGGAUGGCGAAUGGAGAUUGCCCCCACGGGCAUGCAAGGAACCAUAACCGGGAAAUGGUAAUGUGACAAGAAGACGCUGUUUGUUUGCGCUGCUGUCAUUCCCGAGCCCACCUGUGCCACUCAUGCUUAUCAGAUCCACACUUCCUAUCAAACCUAACAGUGAUGGAGACCGGAUGGAGACAAAGUGAGAUGACUUCUGUUAAAGGGGGGAGGGAAGGUGCAAAGGAGAACAAGAAACUGAGAAAAAAAGAAAUAGGUUGUGGUAACUAUUGACCUCUAAGGCAUGACUGUAGUGCAAUUAUUAUUUCAGUGCUGGUAAAUUUCUAUGCUGUUCCAGA